UAUCACUUUAAUAUCAAAAUGAUAAAUCCAUUGAAUGGUGAGGAAACUGCCAAGAAGGUUAGUUCGAUGAAUUAUUACGCAUAUCGUUUGAUGAUUCGUGAAAAUUCUGACAAUUAUUUGUUGCGAUUUCGUCGACUGUUUCAACAAUACUGCGUUGACAUGUACGUGAAAAUCGAAACGGAGCGCCUGACUUUCAUCCGUUUGAAUCAAGCUAAAUUGCGUUCGGAAGAGUAUAUUCAUUUACGCGAUGCAAUAAUUACAGACGGAGAUUCUGAAAAUGUUGGUCGAUUGACUAUUUUACCAGCGACAUACAAAGUAUUUCCGAAUAUCAUUGCUUUCCACAAAAAUACUAAAUGGUUAAGUGAGCGAGCAAUUUUGGCAGCUAAAAAUAAAGAUGUGGAUGACCUUAAUUUUAUAAUUCAAAAUAAAAUCGUUGGUACUCUGUAUUCAUUUAAA